rnacentral:lncRNA from 1 species
UCACCAUGCCUCAGGCAGGGUAGUCUUGUGUUCUGUUGGUGACUUCACAGGAAACUGACUUCUCUGAAGAAGGUGGAGGAGAGGGGACAGAGGUACCUUGAUGUGAAUAUACAGCCAAAGUGGUCCUCUGCUUCCAGCCCUUGCUCAAAGGACUUGGAAACUCAAGGAAUCUGCUCCCAGCCAUGGACUUUCACAUUUGCCUGCAGCAAAAGGCUGGU